AGCGUCCACGCCGCGUGACUGGACACGUGAUCCCCGCGAAGAGCCUGGACGAGGGAAACAUGAGGAGACCUGGACUGGACGGCACCGGGACACAGCACAGACACUUGCAUUAAUGAACUGAUCAGACAGGAAAGGAACAACAGAGUGAAGAUGAAAAUGGAAAAGACAUUCGCAAAUCGAAGAUAUAAAGUGAUCCGUGACACUCCAGCGAUAUAAGACUUCCAGGACAGCAAUCUUUGAAGUAAAUCAGGUAGGCUGGUGCUGAAGAUGACAUUAUUUCAUCAUUAAAGAGCUGUGCAUCUACCUGGAUGAGGAUCCCGAAAAUAUCUAUGUGGAAGAAAAAGAAUCGAGCAUCAACAUCUGGAACAUCUCAGCUGAAGAGACCAUGAUGGCCGUAUCUGCUGUGAGACCAACAGAUGUGAGUGACACUCCAGAGGACAGUGACAAUGUGCUUGAAGGUCACUGAAGGUCAGGGGAUCCUACAGGAUUUGAACCGUGUUGCCUCUGUUACUGCCAGGUUAUUUGGCCUCAUGUGUUUUAAACCUCACCUCCUCCCCUGAACCGAAGUGCACUUUUGAAGUUCUGCAGAAGGUUGUGAUGGAGCUGGAUGCCGAUUCCCUCUAAGAAAGUCCAGGUUCUGAAAAACGGACGGUCAGUGAGCGCUGCUGAAGAUGUCCCUGCUCUGCAUGGACUGUUUGGCUCUAUGUUUUCUGCAGGCUUUUCCAGCUCUGCUCAGGUUCUGUUAUGAGUUUGUUGUUCUGAUUUCUAAAGCAGAUCUUUUUUUUUGUUCCCAUGAGUCCACUUGCUCUUUUGUGACUACUUUUUCUCAUUAUGGGUUUAUUUGGAUACGUUCUGUGUGUUGUCAAGUUAAUGUGUUGUGUUGUGAACCCUCAGGAACACCAUAGAAACCCAAAUAAAACAACUUGAAAAAAAU